CCUACGGGAGGCAGCAGUGAGGAAUAUUGGUCAAUGGCCGGAAGGCUGAACCAGCCAAGCCGCGUGAAGGACGAAGGUGCCAAGCAUUGUAAACUUCUUUUGUCAAGGGACAAAAUCAGGCUCGAGAGCCUGACCGAGGGUACUUGAAGAAAAAGCAUCGGCUAACUCCGUGCCAGCAGCCGCGGUAAUACGGAGGAUGCGAGCGUUAUCCGGAUUUAUUGGGUUUAAAGGGUGCGUAGGCGGACUGUUAAGUCAGCGGUAAAAGCCCGGGGCUCAACCCCGGCGAGCCGUUGAAACUGGCAGUCUUGAGAUGUCGAGAGGUAUGCGGAAUGCGCAGUGUAGCGGUGAAAUGCUUAGAUAUUGCGCAGAACUCCGAUUGCGAAGGCAGCAUACCGGCGGCGAUCUGACGCUGAGGCACGAAAGCGUGGGUAUCGAACAGGAUUAGAUACCCGGGUAGUC
rnacentral:rRNA from 1 species